AAGUCCCUGCCGUGUUCGUGACGUGGCUAUAUAUUCCUUGAACCAAUGCUUAUGGCAUUCAGGUCGCUGGAUUUAUAAGCAGGAGCGAUCGCUACAAGAUAGCGAACCCGAAACUUAUAUGAUGGCGGCCAAUCUUUGGACCCUCGGUUCCCAGGAUGCCAGCCUUGACGGCACAGGUGGGGCAAUU
rnacentral:other from 1 species